GUACAAGUGUAAUCGUACUUAUUGUAUUUUUUGUAUGAAUUGUUAGGGUUUGGCCAUUGCUAUGGCGGUGGAUUUGUCCGGACCUGGACUGCCGCCAUCAGAGAAAGUAGAUGGUAGCAAGUCUCUGUACGCGUGUCUCUGUUUGCAAAGGCUACCCUUCUUAUAUUAUCUAUUCUAUCAAAUUGAGCCAACUUCUACCAUCUGAAUACAUAUCUAAAUCCAAAUCCAAAUCCAAAGGCUGCGGCAGCUCCAGCGGCAGUGACAGUGUCACCCUUUGCAGCUUACCACCCACUUCAACAUUAACCCCAAUUUCAUACCCAAUUAUCUCCAGUGCCAGUCCAAGUUCCAGUUCCAAGGAACAAGAAGGAUGUAAUUCAUAUUCAGAAUUGAAAUGGAAUAGAUUCGCAACUCUUGGGGGUAAUGGUCUCCCCGACGCUAUGAAUUGCUGUGUUAUGGGCUCCAAAAUUAUUCUCGCCGGUGGCUUAUUAAUCUUUCCUGACAUGAGUUCUGAAUAUAGCACUUGGAUUUUCACCUUGGAAACCAACCCAGCUCUGGAUCCCAAGCCUCAAUUCCAGAACAUAAACAAGAAGAAGAAGAAGAAGAACAGGAAAAACAAUUUUUCUCUGAAACGUCUAAGCGCUGGCAAAUCUGACCCCCUAUUGGUGGAAAUUGAGGGCAGGCUCUAUGCCCUCGCUGGCAUUGCCCUUGAGGAGUUGCCCAGCCCUACUUUUGAGGUAUUUGACCCAUCCACCCAACAGUGGUCACCUCUCCCUCCCCCUCCAUUUUUCAACCGUAAUCAAACUUGCUGUUUUGCCCCAUGGCACGACGAUGCUCGUGCUUGCUUCGAUUAUGUAGUGAUGGACCUAUCAUGGGCGGUUCGCUCCUCCGUAAGGACCUUGACUCCGCCGUCGAAAAGGUCUCCGCCGUAGCAAGGGACUCCACGGUUUCCGAUCAAAGCUCUGAUCGUCGAUUAGUUCGCCAUGAACUCGAUCAAGAGGAGGUGAGCAAAAUGGUGUUGCUUAUUGGGACUUCUCUCUUUUUCUGAACACUGUUCAAUAUGGGUGAGCUGAGAUCUUUAAGGUUGGUCAUCUAACCAAGAACAAUCAUUGGCCCAAUUGUAUCUAGUAGAUAUAUGCAUAGAUGUUCAAGGAAAAAAACCGCCAUAUCUUCCUCCCGAAUUUCGAGACUAUCUAAUUAUAAAAAAUGGGGGUGUCAUAGCAUUAGAUAGGAUGAGUUUGGUUAUAAUUUUUUUUUUUACCAUAUCUCCCUUGACUAACUAAGUAUUUUUCAAUACUCAUCUCUCUGUAUACAAGUCAAAGCCAUCCAAAUACAAAAUUGUCUCUGACUGCAUCGGCGCCUAUCUCCUGUAACUUGAAAUCGAGGCAUCAAACUAGGCACCGAAAGACUGCUCAAGGCUUAUUGAGGAGUUACAUUGUUGAGCGUGAGAAAAGCCCCAAACAUUGGGGUCACAAUUAUGUUGGGAACCUGAUUACCUACAGUUAG